AGAGUUUGAUCCUGGCUCAGAACGAACGCUGGCGGCGUGCCUAAUACAUGCAAGUCGAGCGCGGGAAGCGAGUGGAUCCCUUCGGGGUGAAGCUCGUGGAACGAGCGGCGGACGGGUGAGUAACACGUGGGCAACCUACCUGUAAGAUCGGAAUAACCCCGGGAAACCGGGGCUAAUGCCGGGUAAUACUUUUCUUCGCAUGAAGGAAAGUUGAAAGAUGGCUUCUUGCUAUCACUUACAGAUGGGCCCGCGGCGCAUUAGCUAGUUGGUGAGGUAACGGCUCACCAAGGCGACGAUGCGUAGCCGACCUGAGAGGGUGAUCGGCCACACUGGGACUGAGACACGGCCCAGACUCCUACGGGAGGCAGCAGUAGGGAAUCUUCCGCAAUGGACGAAAGUCUGACGGAGCAACGCCGCGUGAACGAUGAAGGUCUUCGGAUCGUAAAGUUCUGUUGUUAGGGAAGAACAAGUACCGUGCGAAUAGAGCGGUACCUUGACGGUACCUAACGAGGAAGCCCCGGCUAACUACGUGCCAGCAGCCGCGGUAAUACGUAGGGGGCAAGCGUUGUCCGGAAUUAUUGGGCGUAAAGCGCACGCAGGCGGUUCCUUAAGUCUGAUGUGAAAGCCCACGGCUCAACCGUGGAGGGUCAUUGGAAACUGGGGAACUUGAGGACAGAAGAGGAGAGUGGAAUUCCACGUGUAGCGGUGAAAUGCGUAGAUAUGUGGAGGAACACCAGUGGCGAAGGCGACUCUCUGGUCUGUUUCUGACGCUGAGGUGCGAAAGCGUGGGUAGCAAACAGGAUUAGAUACCCUGGUAGUCCACGCCGUAAACGAUGAGUGCUAGGUGUUAGGGGG
rnacentral:rRNA from 1 species